AACGCGAAGAACCUUACCAAGGCUUGACAUCCUGUGAAAGACUUCGAAAGAAGACUGUGCCUUUUGGAACACAGUGACAGGUGAUGCAUGGCCGUCGUCAGCUCGUGUCGUGAGAUGUUUGGUUAAGUCCAUUAACGAGCGCAACCCCUAUAGUUAGUUGUUUAUCUAGCUAGACUGCCCUGGUAACAGGGAGGAAGGAGGGGAUGAUGUCAGGUCAGUAUUUCCCUUACGUCUUGGGCUACAAACACGCUACAAUGGCCGGUACAAAGGGCAGCCAAGUCGCAAGACGGAGCAAAUCCCAUCAAAGCCGGUCUCAGUUCGGAUUGUAGGCUGAAACUCGUCUGCAUGAAGCUGGAAUCGCUAGUAACGGUAGGUCAGCACUACUACCGUGAAUACGUUCCCGGGCCUUGUA
rnacentral:rRNA from 1 species